AGAGUUUGAUCAUGGCUCAGAUUGAACGCUGGCGGUAGGCUUAACACAUGCAAGUCGAGCGGAAACGAAGGUGGCUUGCUACCAGGCGUCGAGCGGCGGACGGGUGAGUAACGCGUGGGAAUUUGCCUAGUAGUGGGGGAUAGCCCGGAGAAACGACUGCUAAUACCGCAUAAUCUCUUCGGAGCAAAGUGGGGGACCUUCGGGCCUCACGCCAUGAGAGUAGCCCAAGUGGGAUUAGCUAGUUGGUGAGGUAAAGGCUCACCAAGGCAACGAUCCCUAGCUGGUUUGAGAGGAUGAUCAGCCACACUGGAACUGAGACACGGUCCAGACUCCUACGGGAGGCAGCAGUGGGGAAUAUUGCACAAUGGGCGCAAGCCUGAUGCAGCCAUGCCGCGUGUAUGAAGAAGGCCUUCGGGUUGUAAAGUACUUUCAGCGAGGAGGAAAGGUUAGUAGUUAAUAACUGCUAGCUGUGACGUUACUCGCAGAAGAAGGACCGGCUAACUCCGUGCCAGCAGCCGCGGUAAUACGGAGGGUCCGAGCGUUAAUCGGAAUUACUGGGCGUAAAGCGUACGCAGGCGGUUUGUUAAGCGAGAUGUGAAAGCCCCGGGCUCAACCUGGGAACUGCAUUUCGAACUGACAAACUAGAGUUUUGUAGAGGGUGGUAGAAUUUCAGGUGUAGCGGUGAAAUGCGUAGAGAUCUGAAGGAAUACCAGUGGCGAAGGCGGCCACCUGGACAAUAACUGACGCUCAUGUACGAAAGCGUGGGGAGCAAACGGGAUUAGAUACCCCGGUAGUCCACGCCGUAAACGAUGUCAACUAGCCGACUGGCGCCUGAGUUUUUAGUGGCGCAGCUAACGCACUAAGUUGACCGCCUGGGGAGCACGGACGCAAGUUUAAAACUCAAAUGAAUUGACGGGGGCCCGCACAAGCGGUGGAGCAUGUGGUUUAAUUCGACGCAACGCGAAGAACCUUACCUACUCUUGAAAUCCAGAGAAUUUAGCAGAAAUAGAGGAGUGCCGUCGGGAACUCUGUGACAGGUGCUGCAUGGCUGUCGUCAGCUCGUGUUGUGAAAUGUUGGGUUAAGUCCCGUAACGAGCGCAACCCCUAUCCUUAGUUACCAGCGGUUCGGCCGGGAACUCUAGGGAGACUGCCGGUGACAAACCGGAGGAAGGUGGGGACGACGUCAAGUCAUCAUGGCCCUUACGGAUUGGGCUACACACGUGCUACAAUGGGGUAUACAGACGGUUGCGAAGCCGCGAGGUGGAGCUAAUCCCAGAAAGUAUCUCGUAGUCCGGAUUGGAGUCUGCAACUCGACUCCAUGAAGUCGGAAUCGCUAGUAAUCGCGGAUCAGAAUGCCGCGGUGAAUACGUUCCCGGGCCUUGUACACACCGCCCGU
rnacentral:rRNA from 1 species